rnacentral:rRNA from 1 species
AUACGGAGGAUGCGAGCGUUAUCCGGAUUUAUUAGGUUUAAAGGGUGUGUAGGCGGUAUUUUAAGUCAGUGGUGAAAUCUUUCAGCUUAACUGAGAAACUGCCAUUGAUACUGGAAUACUUGAGUAUAGUUGAGGUAGGCGGAAUAUGUAAUGUAGAGGUGAAAUGCAUAGAUAUUACAUAGAACACCGAUUGCGAAGGCAGCUUACUAAACUAUUUCUGACGCUGAUGCACGAAAGCGUGGGGUGCGAACAGGAUUAGAUACCCUAGUAGUCC